GUGAUGGCUGGUUCCCUUUUCUGAGCUCGACCGUGGCUGCGGUAAAUCGUAGAAAACAGAAAAUGUGCGUUGAGUUUCGGCACGCUCGAUAUGAAGAACAUGUCGUUGAUGGGCCUUUGCCGAAGGAUUGGCAUGGUUUCUCGGUUUAUGUGAGUUCGGAGGUGACUGGGGUAGACCUCAACAGACGGAAAAGAUGGAAAGUGUCGAUUAAAUUGCAACAUCCUAGAUGUGAAGAGAUUGUUGUCCAAGGGCCUGUGCCGAAGGAUUGGCAAGGUUUCUCGGUCAAGUUUGCCGAGUCCCUUAAAGCUUGCUAUGCAGAUAGGUCGUACUACGGCCCUCCGGAUUUCUUGUGCCAAUACUGUGGUGCCUCCUUAUGGUUUGCUGAGUGUUCAAAGUCUAGGUCAUCCUGGACACAAUGUAAGAUGGUUUAUAAUCGCUAUUGUAAAGGCGCUAAGUGUUUUAUACCGUUGAGUUCCAGAAGUGGGGACUGCCUCACGUGCAUAUACUUGUCUGGUGGAGAGGGGGUAAAGAUGGCGAUGACUGAUCUGCAGGCUCUUCUUGUGGGGAACAAGAACCUGACCAUCCAUGUGUAUGUUUCGCGUCUGUAGCAGCAUUGUGGAUCCACUGAUAACGGUCCUAUCAAACACACUGACAUGGUCCUUUUGAAUGUGCAGGUCUAACAUCUAUGCUGAGAUUGGUAAGAAGCUCGUGCCUAAGUUCAAUUGAGACAACCACAUCCAUGUUGUUUCUUGGCAUGGGCAACCACAUCUAUGCUGAUAUUGGCUCCUGGGCUCCUUUAUAGGUCUCUUGCCGUGAAGCUUGUGGUUGGCAUGCAUUUCAAGCAUUCAAUUGUUAUGAGGGUGGAGUUGGAGAAGGUGGGGCGUUAGAGCAGAGCCUAUUGCAGCGUCCAUGACCUCCUCGGGCAUGGCCAAUCCCGACAGGUUGACCAGGUUGCGGGGUUUGGUUAGCAGUAUGUGUGGCUAGUGGUUGGAGCACACUGAAGUGGAGGAGCAGUGUUGUUGUCGACCAUGGAUUCAGGUUGAGAUCAGCCACUGAUGACACGAGUCUUCUACCCUGC